rnacentral:lncRNA from 1 species
CUAAAGUUCGAGAUUUAUUUUCCGAACUUUCGGUAUAUUACAGUACAAAUUUGCAACGAGUACUUUUUCUCAUUCUAUCGAACAAAGAGUAAAAUCUAAUUAUAUUGUUCUAUUAUGUCCCGAGAGUGUAAAUUUGGAACGAAUCGAUGUCAACGUUCACAAGAACCAAAAUCGGAACGACAUUAGACUACUCAGUUGGGCACUAGCAGUAUAACUUUGCAACGAGUACUUUUUCUCAUUCAAUCGAACAAACAGUUAAACCUAAUUAUAUCGUUCUAUUAUGCCCCGAGAGUGUAAAUUUAGAAUGAAUCGAUGUCAACGUUCACAGGAACCAAAACCGGAACAACAUUAGAAUACUAAGUUGCGCCCUAACAGCAUAACUUUGCAACGAGUACUUUUCCUCAUUCAAUCGAACAAACAGUUAAACCUAAUUAUAUAGUUCUAUCAUACCCCGAGAGUGUAAAUUUCGAAUGAAUCGAUGUCAACGUUCACAAGAACCAAAAUCGGAACAAUAUUAGACUACUCAGAUGCGCCAUAACAGCAUAACUUUGCAACGAGUACUUUUUCUCAUUCAAUCGAACAAAGUGUCAAACCUAAUUAUAUUGUUCUAUUAAGCCCCAAGAGUGUAAAGAUGGACGAAUCGAUGUCAACGUUCACAAGAACCAAAAUCGGAACAACAUUAGACUACUCAGUUGCGCCCUAAGUGUAUAACUUUGCAACGAGUACUUUUUCUCAUUCUAUCGAACGAAGAGUAAAAGCUAAUUAUACUAUUCUAUUUUUCCCCGAGAGUGUAAAUUUGGAACGAAUCGACGUCAACGUUCACAGGAACCAAAACCGAAACAAUAUUAGAAUACUCAGUUGCGCCAUAACAGUAUAACUUUGCAACGAGUACUUUUUCUCAUUCAAUCGAACAACAGUUAAACCUAAAUAUAUUGUUCUAUUAUGCCCCGAGAGUGUAAAUUUCGAAUGAAUCGAUGUCAACAUUCACAAGAACCAAAGCCGGAACAACACUAGACUACUUAGUUGCGCCCUAACAGUAUAACUUUGCAACGAGUACUUUUUCUCAUUCAAUCGAACAAAGAGUAAAACCUAAUUAUCUUAUUCUAUUUUGCCUUGAGAGGGUAAAUUUCGAACGAACCGAUGUCAACGUUCACAAGAACCAAAAUCGGAACAACAUUAGACCACUCAGUUGCGCCAUAACAGUAUAACUUUGCAGCGAGUACUUUUUCUCAUUCAAUGGAACAAAGUGUAAAACUAAAUUAUAUUAUUCUAUUAAGCCCCGAGAGUGUAAAGUUGCAACGAAUCGAUGUUAACAUUCACAAGAACCAAAACCGGAACAACAUUAGACUCCUCACUUGCGCCCUAACAGUACAAAUUUGCAACGAGUACUUUUUCUCAUUCUAUCGAACAAAGAGUAAAAUCAAAUUGUAUUGUUCUAUUAUGUCCCGAGAGUGUAAAUUUGGAACGAAUCGAUGUCAACGUUCACAAGAACCAAAACCGGAACGACAUUAGACUACUAAGUUGCGCACUAACAGUAUAACUUUGCAACGAGUACUUUUUCUCAUUUAAUCGAACAAACAGUUAAAUAAAGAGUAAAACCUAAUUAUCUUGUUCUAUUUUGCCUCGAGAGAGUAAAUUUCGAACGAAUCAAUGUCAACGUUCACAAGAACCAAAAUCGGAACAACAUUAGGCAACUCAGUUGCGCCAUAACAGUAUAACUUUGCAACGAGUACUUUUUCUCAUUCAAUCGAACAAAGAGUAAAACAUAAUUAUAUUAUUCUAUUCUGCCCCAAGAGCGUACAUUUGCAACGAUUCGAUGUCAACGUUCACAAGAACCAAAGCCGGAACAACAUUAGACUACUCACUUGCGCCCAGCGCCCUAGCAGUAUAACUUUGCAUCGAGUACUUUUUCUCAUUCUAUCGAACAAAGCGUAAAACCUAAUUAUAUUGUUCUAUUAUGGGUAAAUUUUGAACGAAUCGAUACCAAUAUUCACAGAACCAAAACCGGAACAACAUUAGACCUCUCAGUUGCGCCCUAACAGUAUAACUAUGCAACGAGUACAUUUUCUCAUUUAACCGAACAAAGUGGAAAACCUAAUUAUAUUGUUCUAUUAAGCCCCAAGAGUGUAAAGAUGGACGAAUCGAUGUCAACGUUCACAAGAACCCAAAUCGGAACAAUAUUAAGCCCCGCGACCAACCGCCAAUUUGGACCGGGUCGCGGCGCCGCCGACAGACCGCCGAACGGACCGGGAAUUCCCCUGUACGUGGACAGAGUCUCCCCAGUACGUCCAAGGCGUCGCAAUCCAAACAAUCAACGAAUGUUCUAACAAGGAACGGAUAUCAAUCCAGAUUGCAUAAGGAAGUAUCAAAUACAUAAUCUACUUGCUAUUACAAGUAGAUUUAUUUCACAACCACGUUUUACAUCACAGUUUCAGUUUACAUUUUUACUUCCGAAUUACAAUCUCACUAUUACAUCAGAGUUUACGAGUUUGAUACAUUUCUUUUCUUGUCUUCUAGACCCCUAAGCUAGACUGUCUCAGGGUACUGCUACCUCGGUCUCUUUGGUAGGGCGCUAUCUACUGAGCUACGCCCUCGCCUCGCACCGCCGCGUGGCACACGAACGACCUGAAAACCCCAAAACAACGUGGGGUGAGAACCAACUCCAUGGUUCCCAAUGGAUACGGCCACCCAAGGGAAAAGCUCGACCGAUAGGUCCGAGGAGGCACUGCAACAUGUUAGCUCAACAAUAUACAACAAAUAUAUAUAUUCAAUUGAAAUACAUGCCCUGCCUCACAAUAUGCGAUAUGAAAAUCAUGCAAUAACUAAUACAUCAUUUGAAUUCUACUUUUACUUGGCUACUUUAGCUCAUAAUUUUGCAACGAGUACUUUUUCUCAUUCAAUCGAACAAAGAGUAAAACCUAAUUAUCUUGUUCUAUUUUGCCUCGAGAGGGUAAAUUUCGAACGAAUCGAUGUCAACGUUCACAAGAACCAAAAUCGGAACAACAUUAGGCAACUCAGUUGCGCCAUAACAGUAUAACUUUGCAACGAGUACUUUUUCUCAUUCAAUCGAACAAACCGUUAAACCUAAUUAUAUUGUUCUAUUAUGCCCCGAGAGUGUAAAUUUCGAAUGAAUCGAUGUCAACGUUCACAACAACCAAAGCCGGAACAACAUUAGACUUUUCAGUUGAGCCCUAACAGUAUAACUUUGCAACGAGUACUUUUUCUCAUUCAAUCGAACAAAGAGUAAAACCUUAUUAUCUCAUACUAUUUUGCCUCGAGAGGGUAAAUUUCGAACGAAUCGAAGUCAACGUUCACAGGAACCAAAACCGGAACAAUAUUAGAAUACUCAGUUGCGCCCUAACAGUAUAACUUUGCAACGAGUACUUUUUCUCAUUCAAUCGAACAAACAGUUAAACCUAAUUACAUUGUUCUAUUAUGCCCCGAGUGUGUAAAUUUCGAAUGAAUCGAUGUCAACGUUCACAAUAACCAAAGCGGGAACAACAUUAGACUACUUAGUUGCGCCCUAACAGUAUAACUUUGCAACGAGUACUUUUUCUCAUUCAAUCGAACAAAGAGUAAAAGCUAAUUAUCUUGUUCUAUUUUGCUUCGAGAAGGUAAAUUUCAAGCGAAUCGAUGUCAACGUUCACAAGAACCAAAGCCGGAACAACAUUAGACUACUCACUUGCGCCCUAACAGUAUAACUUUGCAUCGAGUACUUUUUCUCAUUCAAUCGAACAAAGAGUAAAACCUAAUUAUCUUAUUCUAUUUUGCUUCGAGAGGGUAAAUUUCGAACGAAUCGAUGUCAACGUUCACAAGAACCAAAAUAGGAACAACAUUAGACUACUAAGUUGCGCCAUAACAGUAUAACUUUGCAACGAGUACUUUUUCUCAUUCAAUCGAGCAAAGUGUAAAACCUAAUUAUAUUGUUCUAUUAAGCCCCAAGAGUGUAAAGAAGGACGAAUCGAUGUCAACGUUCACAAGAACCAAAAUCGGAGCAACAUUAGAAUACUCAGUUGCGCCCUAAGUGUAUAACUUUGCAACGAGUACUUUUUCUCAUUCUAUCGAACGAAGAGCAAAAGCUAAUUAUACUGUUCUAUUAUUCCCCGAGAGCGUAAAUUUGGAACGAAUCGACGUCAACGUUCACAGGAACCAAAACCGGAAUAACAUUACAAUACUCAGUUGUGCCCUAACAGUAUAACUUUGCAACGCGUACUUUUUCUCAUUCAAUCGAACAAACAGUUAAACCUAAUUAUAUUGUUCUAUUAUGCCCCGAGAGUGUAAAUUUCGAAUGAAUCGAUGUCAACGUUCACAAUAACCAAAGCCGGAACAACAUUAGACUACUCAGUUGAGCCCUAACAGUAUAACUUUGCAACGACUACUUCUUCUCAUUCAAUCGAACAAAGAGUAAAACUUAAUUAUCUUGUUCAAUUUUGCCUCGAAAGGGUAAAUUUCGAACGAAUCGAUGUCAACGUUCACAAGAACCAAAAUCGGAACAACAUUAGGCAACUCAGUUGCGCCAUAACAGUAUAACUUUGCAACGAGUACUUUUUCUCAUUCAAUCGAACAAAUCGUUAAACCUUAUAUUGUUCUAUUAUGCCCCGAGAGUGUAAAUUUCGAAUGAAUCGAUGUCAACGUUCACAAUAACCAAAGCCGGAACAACAUUAGACUACUUAGUUGCGCCCUAACAGUAUAACUUUGCAACGAGUACUUUUUCUCAUUCAAUCGAACAAAAAGUAAAACCUAAUUAUCUUGUUCUAUUUUGCUUCGAGAGGGUAAAUUUCGAGCGAAUCGAUGUCAACGUCCAUAAGAACCAAAAUCGGAACAAUAUUAGACUACUCAGAUGCGCCAUAACAGCAUAACUUUGCAACGAGUACUUUUUCUCAUUCAAUCGAACAAACAGUUAAACCUAAUUAUAUUGUUCUAUUAAGCCCCAAGAGUGUAAAGAUGGACGAAUCGAUGUCAACGUUCACAAGAACCAAAAUCGGAACAACAUUAGACUACUCAGUUGCGCCCUAACAGUAUAACUUUGCAACGAGUACUUUUUCUCAUUCAAUCGAACAAACAGUUAAACCUAAUUAUAUUGUUCUAUUAUGCCCCGAGGGUAUAAAUUUCGAAUGAAUCGAUGUCAACUUUCACAAGAACCAAAGCCGGAACAACAUUAGACUACUCACUUGCGCCCUAACAGUAUAACUUUGCAUCGUGUACUUUUUCUCAUUCAAUCGAACAAAGAGUAAAACCUAUUUAUCUAGUUCUAUUUUGCCUCGAGAGGGUAAAUUUCGAACGAAUCGAUGUCAACGUUCACAAGAACCAAAACCGGAACAACAUUAGACUACUCAGUUGCGCCCUAACAGUAUAACUUUGCAACCAGUGCUUUUUCUCAUUCAAUCGAACAAAGAGUAAAACCUAUUUAUAUUAUUCUAUUAUGCCCCGAGAGUGUAAAUUUGGAACGAAUCGAUGUCAACUUUCACAAGAACCAAAGCCGGAACAACAUUAGACUACUCAGUUGCGCCCUAACAGUAUAGCUUUGCAACGAGUACUUUUUCUCAUUCUA